rnacentral:lncRNA from 1 species
AAGGAAAAGAAAAAUUUAACUGUUGAAAAAGAAGAAAAGACUGAUGAUCUGCCUGGUAAUCUCACAAGUGAAAGCCCCUACCCCCAGCAGAAGGCUGAAUCCCAAAGUACAAGGAGUUGGCCAGAGGAACAUGGAAGGCAAGUUUUAACAGGACAGGAAGCAGAACACACAAAGAUCCAGGGCAAUAAAGAAAAUCAUGUGUUGGAGAAUUUGCAUGCUUUUCUGAAUGGCUGGAGCACCAAUGGUGAGAAAAGUUUUGCAAAUCUCCAAAAUCCAGUCUAGCUCUGAAAUCUUCUGAUUUUGGUGAUCAGAGUAGAUUGGAAUUUUAUCUGUGGCUCAGGCCUAGGAAAGCAGAAAUAACUUUUGGCCACUAGAAUACAAUGUGUAUUUAGACCAACUCUCUUCGUCCAGAGGAAGGAGGCACACACUAUAUAUCUGUAAGGCAAAGACAGAGACUCUGGGCUCCUCUUUCCAACUGAGUUUCUAACUAGCUAGUGUUCCUCCCCUCUACAUCCUGAAGCACAGAGCUGGGCUCCAAAGCUGAGGGUUAUGAAUUAGAUACCAUCCCAAACAUUAAAAAUGUGAUCUAUAACAUUCUUACCCUGUCUUCUCUCUACACUCCUUGCUGGGCUUGAUUUCAUGAGUACAAGUGUCAAGCUCCCACCGAAGGAAGAAGGAGAGAAAGAUCC